AGCUCUGCUGGAGAGACCUGAGGCUUGCAACGCUGGGCCCGGCCGAGUCGCUGCGGCUGGGCUGGAGGUGAGGCGAAAGAAGGGCAUCCUCUGAUGGGAGUGGACCGGAGUCCGCUAAAGCGAAACAUUCCAGGGUCAAGGAUGCAUUCCAGGAAAGUUCCAUAAAAAUAUACCAUCAACUCCAACCUGAUAUUUGACCUAGCUGUGGAAAACCUCAUUGGCUCCUCACUAGAUCAGACCAUAAAAAUGAUUCAGGAAUGAAAAUCUAAGAUAAAUUCCCACCACUUCAAGAUGUUCUUAUACAAGUCAACAGUCUAGCAGAUCAGCCAGUCUCUUUCAUCAUCAAGCAGACAUACUCAAGAAAGAGGAAUAGUGAAGUGAAAUAUACAGAAGCAUGUUCAAGUUCAUCUGUUGAAUGUGGAAUUGUGAAUAGUGACAAUAUUGAGAAAAAUACUGACUCCAAUCUGCAAACUUCAACUUCAUUUGAGCCACAUUUCAAAAAAAAAAAAAAGAAAAAUUUGAAACAUUAAGGGAAAACAGUUGGGUAAAAGAUCCAUUUGCUUUUCGAAACCUUGAAU
rnacentral:sRNA from 1 species